AGCAGCCGCGGUAAUUCCAGCUCCAAUAGCGUAUAUUAAAGCUGUUGCAGUUAAAAAGCUCGUAGUUGAAUUUCGGGAUUGACACAUCGGUCGUGCCUUAAGGGGUAUGAACUGGUGUAGUCAAUUUCUCACCUUCUGGAGAACCGCAAUGCCCUUAAUUGGGUGUCGCGGGGAACCAGGACCUUUACUUUGAAAAAAACUUNGAGUGUUUAAAGCAGGCAUUUUGCUUGAAUACAUUAGCAUGGAAUAAUAAAAUAGGACGGCAUGAUUCUAUUUUGUUGGUUUCUAGGAUCACCGUAAUGAUUAAUAGGGAAUAGUUGGGGGCAUUAGUAUUCAAUUGUCAGAGGUGAAAUUCUUGGAUUUAUUGAAGACUAACUACUGCGAAAGCAUUUGCCAAGGAUGUUUUCAUUAAUCAAGAACGAAAGUUAGGGGAUCGAAGACGAUCAGAUACCGUCGUAGUCUUAACCAUAAACUAUGCCGACUAGGAAUCAGACGAUGUAAUUUUUUUCAAUGACUCGUU
rnacentral:rRNA from 1 species